rnacentral:rRNA from 1 species
UACGGAGGGUGCAAGCGUUAUCCGGAUUCACUGGGUUUAAAGGGUGCGUAGGAGGGCAGGUAAGUCAGUGGUGAAAUCCCCGAGCUUAACUUGGGAACUGCCGUUGAUACUAUCUGUCUUUGAAUACCGUGGAGGUGAGCGGAAUAUGUCAUGUAGCGGUGAAAUGCUUAGAUAUGACAUAGAACACCAAUUGCGAAGGCAGCUCGCUACACGAAUAUUGACUCUGAGGCACGAAAGCGUGGGGAUCAAACAGG